CUUGGUCAUUUAGAGGAAGUAAAGGUCGUAACCAGGUUUCCGUAGGUGAACCUGCGGAAGGAUCAUUAAUGAAACUUGGGAGAGUUGAUGCUGGCGAAAGCAUGUGCUCAUUCUCCCUUAAUCCAUUCAACACCUGUGCACUCUGAGGGGGGAAGGCUCAUUCGGUCUUUAACUAGAUCGGGUUGUUUCUCUCCCCCUCCUUUUAAAACAAACUCUGAUAAUUGAAUGUUCAUAAGGCCGAAAGGCUAUAUAUAAUAAAACAACUUUUAACAACGGAUCUCUUGGCUCUCGCAUCGAUGAAGAACGCAGCGAAAUGCGAUAAGUAAUGUGAAUUGCAGAAUUCAGUGAAUCAUCGAAUCUUUGAACGCACCUUGCGCUCUCUGGUAUUCCGGAGAGCACGCCUGUUCGAGUGUCAUGAAACUCUCAAGCAGAAUUAACUUUAUUGUUUAAUUCUUGUUUGGAUUUGGACUCUUGCCGCGUUACUGCGGCUGGUCUUAAAAGUAUUAGCUGGUCUGUAAGAACCUUGGGUUUGACUUGGCGUGAUAAAUAUUCGCUGAGGACACUUUGGUGGCCUAAUUUCUUACUGGAUUGCUUCUAAUCGUCUUUACCGACAACUUAAAUUUCAAAUCUGACCUCGAAUCAGGUGGGACUACCCGCUGAACUUAAGCAUAUCAAUAAGCGGAGGA
rnacentral:rRNA from 1 species